rnacentral:rRNA from 1 species
CCUACGGGAGGCAGCAGUGAGGAAUAUUGGUCAAUGGACGAGAGUCUGAACCAGCCAAGUAGCGUGAAGGAUGACUGCCCUAUGGGUUGUAAACUUCUUUUAUAAAGGAAUAAAACGAGGCACGUGUGCCUUUUUGCAUGUACUUUAUGAAUAAGGAUCGGCUAACUCCGUGCCAGCAGCCGCGGUAAUACGGAGGAUCCGAUCGUUAUCCGGAUUUAUUGGGUUUAAAGGGAGCGUAGAUGGGUUGUUAAGUCAGUUGUGAAAGUUUGCGGCUCAACCGUAAAAUUGCAAUUGAUACUGGCAGUCUAGAGUACAGUUGAGGUAGGCGGAAUUCGUGGUGUAGCGGUGAAAUGCGUAGAUAUCACGAAGAACCCCGAUUGCGAAGGCAGCUUACUAAACUGUGACUGACAUUGAUGCUCGAAAGUGUGGGUAUCAAACAGGAUUAGAUACCCGAGUAGUC